GACUUCAUGGUGUAGUCGGAUAUCACGGCUUAAUAAUUACGUCUGCCCAACACGCAGACAAUCGCCAGUUCAACUCUAGCUGAAGUCA